rnacentral:lncRNA from 1 species
AUGGACAACCUCAAUUGUUGCUGCUGCGAUGAUGUUGCCAAGGCUGUGGUGCCAGAUUUUGUCCACCGAAACUCAAGCAACGGUGAAAUCCAGUAUCGGUGCCAGUUUAGACUUGGUGAGAGAAGCAGAGACUGUACCCAGGCUCCUUAUAUCAGUCAUGGACGUCUAAUGAAGGAUGGAUAUCUGGAUACCUUCAAGCAGCUGCUUGAAACACAAACCUCAAUGAAUUUUCUUUUCAAAAAGAAUUUUCAAGAAUUAUUUAAGCCAUGGAAAACUGUGAAAUAUGUGUGUCAUCCAUUGAGUCUCUAGACAAUUAAGAGUGACUCGACCGUCACCCUUAGGACUGUGUGCACUGCCAAGUAUCUGAUUCUCUCACACAGAACUCAGAGAUUAUUUCAAUAAAUUUGAUAUUUUAUUCUUUCUUCUUAUCAUAUCAGACUUUGUUACUUCUACCAAUUAUAUACAUAUUGUAUAACACUGGUCACUGGCUCAAGAUAAACAAGACAAACCAAACAUCAUCCUCAGAGUACCAGCAACAAAGCUGGAAUAUAUUUUCCCUAAACUUGAAAUACACAGAAACCAUGAUCAUUACCCAGUAAAGAUGAAGUACAGAGAAAGCCAUUCCACUUCAAAAUCAACAAGCAGGCGAAUAUCACCCAAAUGUGUUCUUCAGCUGUAAGGCUAUGGGAUUCAAUAAAUAAACUUUUUGAAAUUAAGUAUUUCAAAAUCAUUGG